rnacentral:rRNA from 1 species
AGUGAACGCUGGCGGUAGGCCUAACACAUGCAAGUCGAACGGCAGCACAGUAAGAGCUUGCUCUUACGGGUGGCGAGUGGCGGACGGGUGAGGAAUACAUCGGAAUCUACUUUUUCGUGGGGGAUAACGUGGGGAAACUUACGCUAAUACCGCAUACGACCUACGGGUGAAAGCAGGGGAUCUUCGGACCUUGCGCGAUUGAAUGAGCCGAUGUCGGAUUAGCUAGUUGGCGGGGUAAAGGCCCACCAAGGCGACGAUCCGUAGCUGGUCUGAGAGGAUGAUCAGCCACACUGGAACUGAGACACGGUCCAGACUCCUACGGGAGGCAGCAGUGGGGAAUAUUGGACAAUGGGCGCAAGCCUGAUCCAGCCAUACCGCGUGGGUGAAGAAGGCCUUCGGGUUGUAAAGCCCUUCUGUUGGGAAAGAAAAGCAGCAGGUUAAUACCCCGCUGUUCUGACGGUACCCAAAGAAUAAGCACCGGCUAACUUCGUG